CAGGUAUACAUAUUUAUAGAUACAAGGUACAAUGGUAAAGAAGGAAAUGAUCAUCCUAAGCCUCAGAGAUAGGACCUUGAUAUCCUUUAAUACAGUAAACCUUCCUAAAAUACAGAUAUACACAAUCAAAUAAAAUUAGAUCACACAUCAUCAUAUUGGACAUUAUAAGUUCAACACACAACACUUCCUCACAGGUUGGUGCACAUAUGUCAUGCAUUAAGCUCGUGCUACGUAUGUGUGCUACCCUUGAUCCUGGAAUAGAUUUGGUUAAGAUGUGAGCCGGUUGAUCAUUGGAGCAUACAAAAUAUUUUCAAUGAAUAUUUCUCAUUUUCAGAAUUGCACCUGGAACAUAUCACAGUAAGAUUAAAAGCUUAAGGUUGCCCAUGAAGUAUGGAGGUCAUAGAGGCUUUAGUUUUGUAGAGUAUAGUACUAAGCAGGAGGCUCAAAAUGCUCUUGUAACACUUUCAGGAACCCACCUGAAUGGUAAGCUUCUGGUGAUAGAGAGAGCGAAAGAAGGUGAGAGUUUGGAUGAACUGCGGGCUCGAACCGCUGCUCAAUUUAGUGAAAGUAAUGAAUUUCAGAAUGCUACUAAGUUAUCCAAGAAAAGAAAGCGCAUCAGUAUCUCAGAUGAAGCUUGAAAGGGUAGUUGAUAGUACGAGGCCAAUGAUUGAAGUGUUUUUGCAUAAAGUCCAGCAAUGAUGAUUUGCUGUUAGCACUUAGCAGGGCAGAAAAUGUUGAGUAUGAGGGCUUUCCAUUUACUAUUUAAUAUAAAUAUAGAAUGUUUAGAAUAACUGACUUUAGAAGUUUAUUUGAUUUAUGAAUGAGGUUUUAUUUAGAGAGUAUUAGAAUAUCAUAUUGGUAGCAGAAUGAUAAGGAAAGUUAAUAAUUUAUUCAAAAGAAAAUGUCAUCAGUUAAUCUACACAAGUACCAAAUAUCAAUUUGAAUAGUAAAA